UUGAUGGAGAAUUUGAUCCUGGUUCAGAACGAACGUUGGCGGCGUGGAUGAGGCAUGCAAGUCGAUCGGUAAGGCCCCUUCGGGGGUACACGAGAGGCGAAAGGGUGAGUAAUAACUGGUUAAUCUACCCUUGAGUGGGGGAUAACCCUGGGAAACCGGGGCUAAUACCGCAUAAGACCACAGGGAGGCAUCUCCCAGGGGUCAAAGUCUUCGGACGCUCGAGGAGGAGACCAGUCCGUAUCAGGUUGUUGGCGGGGUAACGGCCCACCAAGCCUGCGACGCGUAGCCGGCCUGAGAGGGUGGUCGGCCACACUGGGACUGAGACACUGCC
rnacentral:rRNA from 1 species